AGAUUAAGUUAUUAAGGGCGCACGGUGGAUGCCUUGGCACUAGAAGCCGAUGAAGGACGUUACUAACGACGAUAUGCUUUGGGGAGCUGUAAGUAAGCUUUGAUCCAGAGAUUUCCGAAUGGGGAAACCCAGCAUGAGUUAUGUCAUGUUAUCGAUAUGUGAAUACAUAGCAUAUCAGAAGGCACACCCGGAGAACUGAAACAUCUUAGUACCCGGAGGAAGAGAAAGAAAAUUCGAUUCCCUUAGUAGCGGCGAGCGAAACGGGAAGAGCCCAAACCAACAAGCUUGCUUGUUGGGGUUGUAGGACACUCUAUACGGAGUUACAAAGGACGACAUUAGACGAAUCAUCUGGAAAGAUGAAUCAAAGAAGGUAAUAAUCCUGUAGUCGAAAAUGUUGUCUCUCUUGAGUGGAUCCUGAGUACGACGGAGCACGUGAAAUUCCGUCGGAAUCUGGGAGGACCAUCUCCUAAGGCUAAAUACUCUCUAGUGACCGAUAGUGAACCAGUACCGUGAGGGAAAGGUGAAAAGCACCCCGGAAGGGGAGUGAAAUAGAACCUGAAACCGUGUGCUUACAAGUAGUCAGAGCCCGUUAAUGGGUGAUGGCGUGCCUUUUGUAGAAUGAACCGGCGAGUUACGAUUUGAUGCAAGGUUAAGCAGUAAAUGUGGAGCCGUAGCGAAAGCGAGUCUGAAUAGGGCGUUUAGUAUUUGGUCGUAGACCCGAAACCAGGUGAUCUACCCUUGGUCAGGUUGAAGUUCAGGUAACACUGAAUGGAGGACCGAACCGACUUACGUUGAAAAGUGAGCGGAUGAACUGAGGGUAGCGGAGAAAUUCCAAUCGAACCUGGAGAUAGCUGGUUCUCUCCGAAAUAGCUUUAGGGCUAGCCUCAAGUGAUGAUUAUUGGAGGUAGAGCACUGUUUGGACGAGGGGCCCCUC
rnacentral:rRNA from 1 species